CCUACCUUAAAUAGACAUGGAGAAUAACUGAUCACACUCCUCUUUGUAACAGCUCUUAACGUAUUUGAAUACUGUUAUCAGAUCCCUCCUCAGUCUUCUUGUCUCAAGACUAAACAUGCCCAGUUAUUUUAACCUUUCCUCACAAAUUAGGUUUUCGGAACCUUUGAUCACUUUUGUUUCCCUCCUCUGGACUCUCUCCAGUUUAUCUGUGUUUCCCAA